UACGUAGGGUGCAAGCGUUGUCCGGAAUUAUUGGGCGUAAAGAGCUCGUAGGCGGUCUGUCGCGUCGGCUGUGAAAACCCGGAGCUCAACUCCGGGCCUGCAGUCGAUACGGGCAAACUGGAGUACUGCAGGGGAGACUGGAAUUCCUGGUGUAGCGGUGAAAUGCGCAGAUAUCAGGAGGAACACCGGUGGCGAAGGCAGCCCCCUGGGCUGACACUGACGCUCAGGCACGAAAGCGUGGGGAGCAAACAGG
rnacentral:rRNA from 1 species